GCUAAGAAUAUUCCGCAAUGGAGGAAACUCUGACGGAGCGACGCCGCGUGGAUGAUGAAGGUCGGAAGAUUGUAAAAUCCUUUUAAGUAUGAUGAAUAACCUGAUCAGGAAAUGGGACAGGGAUGACCGUAAUACUUGAAUAAGCAACGGCUAAUUACGUGCCAGCAGCCGCGGUAACACGUAAGUUGCGAGCGUUGUUCGGAAUUAUUGGGCGUAAAGGGCAUGUAGGCGGUUUUGCAAGCUUGAUGUGAAAUGCCGGGGCUUAACUCCGGCACUGCGUUGAGAACUGCAUGACUAGAGUAACUGAGGGGCAGCCGGAAUUCCAGGUGUAGGGGUGAAAUCUGUAGAUAUCUGGAAGAACACCAAUGGCGAAGGCAGGCUACCAGCAGAUUACUGACGCUGAGGUGCGAAGGUGCGGGGAGCAAACAGGAUUAGAUACCCGAGUAGUCC
rnacentral:rRNA from 1 species